AAUCCGCCGGACGAAUCUGAGACGCGAGUCCGUGGGCGCAAGCCCUGAAGCCGUUGAGUCUAUGCUGCCUAGAAAAGCUCCUAAGUUUAUCCACAGCAAUCCGUACCGCAAACCGACACAGGUGGGUGGGAUGAACAAUCCAAGGCGCUCGAGAGAACUCUGGCCAAGGAACUCGGCAAAAUAACCCCGUAACUUCGGAAGAAGGGGUGCUCUCUAGGGUGACAUGUUUAACAUAUGAAGCCCCGGGGAGCCGCAGUGAAUUGGUGGUGGCGACUGUUUACUAAAAACAUAGGUCUGUGCGAAGUCCUAAAGACGACGUAUACGGACUGACGCCUGCCCGGUGCUGGAAGGUUAAAAGGAGGGGUCAGCGCAAGCGAAGCUCCGAAUUGAAGCCCCAGUAAACGGCGGCCGUAACUAUAACGGUCCUAAGGUAGCGAAAUUCCUUGUCGGGUAAGUUCCGACCUGCACGAAUGGCGUAACGAUCUCCACACUGUCUCGGCCAGAGACUCGGUGAAAUUGCAGUCGCGGUGAAAAUUCCGUGUACCCGCAGAAAGACGGAAAGACCCUGUGCACCUUUACUAUAGCUUGACAUUGGAUUUUGGGCCUGCAUGUGUAGGAUAGGUGGGAGGCUGUGAACCCUGUACGCCAGUAUGGGGGGAGCCAUCCUUGAAAUACCACCCUUGCAUGUUUAAGAUCCUAACUUCUUCCGGUUAUCCCGGAGAAAGACAGUGUCUGGCGGGUAGUUUGACUGGGGCGGUCGCCUCCUAAAGUGUAACGGAGGCAUGCAAAGGUUCCCUCAGCCUGAUCGGAAACCAGGCGCUGAGUGCAAACGCAUAAGGGAGCUUGACUGUAAGAGAGACAUCUCGAACAGGAACGAAAGUUGGCGUUAGUGAUCCGGUGGUCCCGAAUGGAAGGGCCAUCGCUCAUUGGAUAAAAGGUACGCCGGGGAUAACAGGCUGAUCGCAUCCAAGAGUUCACAUCGACGAUGCGGUUUGGCACCUCGAUGUCGGCUCAUCACAUCCUGGGGCUGAAGCAGGUCCCAAGGGUACGGCUGUUCGCCGUUUAAAGUGGUACGCGAGCUGGGUUUAAAACGUCGUGAGACAGUUUGGUCCCUAUCUUCUGUGGGCGAAGGAGAAUUGAGAGGGCCUGUCCCUAGUACGAGAGGACCGGGAUGGACGCACCCCUGGUGAUCCUGUUGUCGCGCCAGCGGCAUAGCAGGGUAGCUAUGUGCGGAAGGGAUAACCGCUGAAAGCAUCUAAGCGGGAAGCCUGCCUCAAGAUAAGUUCUCCCCUCGAAAGAGCUGAAGGGCCCGGGUAGACUACCCGGUCGAUAGGCUGCAGGUGUAAGCGCGGCGACGUGCUCAGCUGACCAGUACUAAUAGCCCGAGCGGCUUAUUU
rnacentral:rRNA from 1 species